GGAGAGAUGGUUGAGUCUGGUUUAAGGCGCUCGCCUGGAAAGCGGGUAGGCGGUAGUACCGUCUCGAGGGUUCAAAUCCCUCUCUCUCCGCCA
rnacentral:tRNA from 1 species